UAUAUUUUAUGUGUAUGAUGCACAUGAGUUUUUGAUACUUUUAGAAAUGGUUUAAUUCCAUUAAAUAUAA
rnacentral:tRNA from 1 species